rnacentral:tRNA from 1 species
GAGGGCAUAGCUCAGUGGUAGAAUACCUACCUAGCAUGCAUGAGGUCCUGGGUUCAAUCCCCAGUAUCUUCA